GAUGAACGCUAGCGGGAGGCUUAACACAUGCAAGUCGAGGGGCAUCACGAGGUAGCAAUACCUUGGUGGCGACCGGCGCACGGGUGAGUAACACGUAUGCAACCUUCCCUGUACAGGGGGAUAACCCGGAGAAAUUCGGACUAAUACCCCAUGAUGAUAUUUAUGGGCAUCCAUUAAUAUUUAAAGCUUUGGCGGUACAGGAUGGGCAUGCGCGACAUUAGCUAGUUGGUAAGGUAACGGCUUACCAAGGCGACGAUGUUUAGGGGACCUGAGAGGGUUGUCCCCCACACUGGUACUGAGACACGGACCAGACUCCUACGGGAGGCAGCAGUGAGGAAUAUUGGUCAAUGGGCGCAAGCCUGAACCAGCCAUCCCGCGUGAAGGAAGAAUGCGCUACGCGUUGUAAACUUCUUUUCCAGGGGGAGAAUAAUCCUGUCGUGACAGGACUUGACGGUACUCUGGGAAUAAGCAUCGGCUAACUCCGUG
rnacentral:rRNA from 1 species